rnacentral:rRNA from 1 species
GAUGAACGCUGGCGGCGUGCCUAAUACAUGCAAGUCGAGCGAACAGACGAGGAGCUUGCUCCUCUGACGUUAGCGGCGGACGGGUGAGUAACACGUGGAUAACCUACCUAUAAGACUGGGAUAACUUCGGGAAACCGGAGCUAAUACCGGAUAAUAUAUUGAACCGCAUGGUUCAAUAGUGAAAGACGGUUUUGCUGUCACUUAUAGAUGGAUCCGCGCCGCAUUAGCUAGUUGGUAAGGUAACGGCUUACCAAGGCGACGAUGCGUAGCCGACCUGAGAGGGUGAUCGGCCACACUGGAACUGAGACACGGUCCAGACUCCUACGGGAGGCAGCAGUAGGGAAUCUUCCGCAAUGGGCGAAAGCCUGACGGAGCAACGCCGCGUGAGUGAUGUAGGUCUUCGGAUCGUAAAACUCUGUUAUUAGGGAAGAACAAAUGUGUAAGUAACUAUGCACGUCUUGACGGUACCUAAUCAGAAAGCCACGGCUAACUUCGUG